GUCCAGACUCCUACGGGAGGCAGCAGUAGGGAAUAUUGCUCAAUGAGGAAACCCUGAAGCAGCAACGCCGCGUGGAGGAUGAAGGUUUUAGGAUUGUAAACUCCUUUUGUUAGAGAAGAUUAUGACGGUAUCUAACGAAUAAGCACCGGCUAACUCCGUGCCAGCAGCCGCGGUAAUACGGAGGGUGCAAGCGUUACUCGGAAUCACUGGGCGUAAAGAGUGCGUAGGCGGGGUAAUAAGUCAGAUGUGAAAUCCUGUAGCUUAACUACAGAACUGCAUUUGAAACUGGCAAACUGGAGUGUGUGAGAGGAUAGUGGAAUUCCAGGUGUAGGAGUGAAAUCCGUAGAUAUCUGGAGGAACAUCAGUGGCGAAGGCGACUAUCUGGCACAUAACUGACGCUGAGGAGCGAAAGCGUGGGUAGCAAACAGGAUUAGAUACCCGCGUACCC
rnacentral:rRNA from 1 species